rnacentral:rRNA from 1 species
AGGCUGAAACUCGCCUCUUUGAAGUCGGAAUCGCUAGUAAUCGCAGAUCAGCAUGUUGCGGUGAAUACGUUUCCUGGUCUUGUACACACCGCCCGUCAAACCAUGAGAGUCGCCAACACCCGAAGUCCGCUUUGCGGCCUAAGGUGGGGAGAUGAUUGGGGUUAAGUCGUAACAAGGUAUC